rnacentral:rRNA from 1 species
GACGAACGCUGGCGGCGUGCCUAAUACAUGCAAGUUGAGCGAUGAAGAUUGGUGCUUGCACCAAUUUGAAGAGCAGCGAACGGGUGAGUAACGCGUGGGGAAUCUGCCUUUGAGCGGGGGACAACAUUUGGAAACGAAUGCUAAUACCGCAUAACAACUUUAAACAUAAGUUUUAAGUUUGAAAGAUGCAAUUGCAUCACUCAAAGAUGAUCCCGCGUUGUAUUAGCUAGUUGGUGAGGUAAAGGCUCACCAAGGCGAUGAUACAUAGCCGACCUGAGAGGGUGAUCGGCCACAUUGGGACUGAGACACGGCCCAAACUCCUACGGGAGGCAGCAGUAGGGAAUCUUCGGCAAUGGACGAAAGUCUGACCGAGCAACGCCGCGAGAGUGAAGAAGGUUUUCGGAUCGUAAAACUCUGUUGGUAGAGAAGAACGUUGGUGAGAGUGGAAAGCUCAUCAAGUGACGGUAACUACCCAGAAAGGGACGGCUAACUACGUG